ACGGGUGAGUAAUGCCUAGCGAAUCUGCCUGGUAGUGGGGGAUAACGUUCGGAAACGGACGCUAAUACCGCAUACGUCCUACGGGAGAAAGCAGGGGACCUUCGGGCCUUGCGCUAUCAGAUGAGCCUAGGUCGGAUUAGCUAGUUGGUGGGGUAAUGGCUCACCAAGGCGACGAUCCGUAACUGGUCUGAGAGGAUGAUCAGUCACACUGGAACUGAGACACGGUCCAGACUCCUACGGGAGGCAGCAGUGGGGAAUAUUGGACAAUGGGCGAAAGCCUGAUCCAGCCAUGCCGCGUGUGUGAAGAAGGUCUUCGGAUUGUAAAGCACUUUAAGUUGGGAGGAAGGGUUGUAGAUUAAUACUCUGCAAUUUUGACGUUACCGACAGAAUAAGCACCGGCUAACUCUGUGCCAGCAGCCGCGGUAAUACAGAGGGUGCAAGCGUUAAUCGGAAUUACUGGGCGUAAAGCGCGCGUAGGUGGUUAGUUAAGUUGGAUGUGAAAUCCCCGGGCUCAACCUGGGAACUGCAUUCAAAACUGACUGACUAGAGUAUGGUAGAGGGUGGUGGAAUUUCCUGUGUAGCGGUGAAAUGCGUAGAUAUAGGAAGGAACACCAGUGGCGAAGGCGACCACCUGGACUGAUACUGACACUGAGGUGCGAAAGCGUGGGGAGCAAACAGGAUUAGAUACCCUGGUAGUCCACGCCGUAA
rnacentral:rRNA from 1 species